CUAAACCUGCCCACUGAUUUAUUAAAGGGCCGCGGUAUAUUGACUGUGCAAAGGUAGCAUAAUCAUUUGUCUUUUAAUUGAAGGCUAGAAUGAAUGGUUGAAUGAAGUAUUAACUGUCUCAUUUUAAAAAGAAUAAAAAUUUAAUUUUUUAGUCAAAAAGCUAAAAUAAAUUUAGAGGACGAGAAGACCCUAUAGAUCUUUAUAAUAAAAUUUAAUAAAAAUUUUUAGAAUAAUAUAUAAAUUAUUAAAUUAAAUUAUUUUGUUGGGGUGACAGGAAAAUUAAAUUAACUAUUUUUAUUUAAAAAACAAUGAUUUUUGAAUAUUUGAUCCAAUUUUAUUGAUUAUAAAAUUAAGUUACCUUAGGGAUAACAGCGUAAUUUUUUUAGAGAGUUCUUAUCGAUAAAAAAGAUUGCGACCUCGAUGUUGAAUUAAAG
rnacentral:rRNA from 1 species